CCUACGGGGUGCAGCAGUGGGGAAUAUUGCGCAAUGGGCGAAAGCCUGACGCAGCGACGCCGCGUGAGGGAUGAAGGUCUUCGGAUCGUAAACCUCUGUCAGCAGGGAAGAACGGUCACUGUGCUAAUCAGCAGUGAAUUGACGGUACCUGCAAAGGAAGCACCGGCUAACUCCGUGCCAGCAGCCGCGGUAAUACGGAGGGUGCGAGCGUUAAUCGGAAUUACUGGGCGUAAAGCGCUCGUAGGCGGUAUGUCAAGUCAAGGGUGAAAUCCCCGCGCUCAACGUGGGAACUGCCUUUGAAACUGGCAAACUGGAGUGUGUGAGAGGAUAGUGGAAUUCCAGGUGUAGGAGUGAAAGCCGUAGAUAUCUGGAGGAACAUCAGUGGCGAAGGAGACUAUCUGGCACAUAACUGACGCUGAGGAGCGAAAGCGUGGGUAGCAAACAGGAUUAGAUACCCCUGUAGUC
rnacentral:rRNA from 1 species